AUGUUGCACUGUUAUCCCAGAACAUAUGCCUCAACUUUGAUUGGUGGCAGUCUGUUUUUUAGCACAAUUUUGAAGUAAAAGAGAAGAGGGGUUUUUUAUUGUCAUUAUUCAGUUGUGAUGUUUGAAUGUUUAUUGACAUAUUUGAUUCUAAAUACCAUUUAGCUUGUGUGCUAUAACUUUAUAUAUAUGUGCCCGUUUGAUAUAUAACUUAUUUUUCAGCGUUUGAAAAUGGGGUUAUUUUGAAAGAGUUGUCCAAUUUGAGAUGCGUAAGAACCUUACCUUGUCCUAAGUAUGUUUUGUUUUGUUGCAGAGGCUGUGAUUCCUUCCCAAUAUUUUGCUGUUAUAAUUUUUAUAGUUUUGCUCACGUCAGAAUCAGAUAUCAGAGCAUUCGAAGCAGAUGUUCUACUAAAAAUUAUGCUAUUUUACCACACCAAUGGCUUACUUUAUUAUUUUACCACAUCAUUUUAUAACAUCUCAUUUAUCAGAUAUUUUAUAAUUCAAUUAUAUACAUUAAAAUAAUAUUUAUUAUAUAUUAAAAUAAUAUUUAUUACAACUCAUCAACACAAUCUACACAUUAAAAGAAAAAAAAUUUUACCCCAUGCAUUCCGUACCUUUGCCACGGUAUUGUUUAAUGUUGCAAAAAAAAUAACAUAUUUCAUGUCUAUUAAAUGGGCUAAAAUUGAGUUUGGUGUGGGAUAUGUGCCAAAUAUUUAGCAUUUGGCACAUAUCCCACAUCUAGUGUGGGUGCUCUCAGUAUCCAUUGGUAACUAUGGUUGUUGCAGUUUAAAUUAUAACCUAAAGCAAACUUUGCAGCUGAAAUAUAUCUUGCUAAUAAGGGGGAAUCCUGCAAAGUUCGCUGUGAGGUUCGCUAGGUUUCAUUAGGGGACCAUCUAAUUCUUUCCCUCUAAUGAAUACCGAAAUAUAUAUUGUUUACUAGGUAUUAGUGUAUUACUAGAAAUAUAUCUGCAAAGUUUGCUAGGUGCUACUAGAAAUAUAUCUGAAAAUUUCGCUCUAGGUGUUAUUAGAUGGAAUCCUGUUUGGUUCUUAAUGUGAAAUCUAGGGAAAUCAAUAGCAGCAAGUCUUUUGAUUUAACGUUUGUGUACGUAUAGUAUGUGUACCAUACUAAUACCUAGUUGAAUGGAUAAGAAAAAUGAAAUGGUUAAAAAAAAAUCGAAGCUUUUUUUUUUUUUUUUUUAAUAAAUUUAAAAUUUUAAUAAAUAAUAUAAAUAUUUUAAAAUAAUUAAUAAUAUGAUAAUUGCAAUCACACUUUUACAUGAAUUCAUAACUAACAAAAAAUGAUAGUGUACUAACUCAUAGAAGAAAACUGUGUGAUAUGGAUUGUCAAGAGGAUAGGACCCAACCUAGAUUGACCCAACCUAGAUUGAACAAUCAUGCAUACCUCCAAGCAGCUCUUUUAACUACAAAUUUAAUUCUCUCAUAAUAAAUACACUUAUAUAAUAAAUAAAUUAAAGCUUUACUCCUAAAAUUUAAAUUACGCCGGUACAAAACCAGAACUCGUCAUAUGCUAAAGAGGCAGGAGGCACUCAAAUGGGGUGUGCUAUCAAUUUCCUUCUGAGAUUUCCUCCAUGGCUUGGCGGUGUUGUGCAAGACCAAAAGCUGCUAGUGGGAUUGCAGUGGCACAACAGGGGGCAAGUCUGUGGCACAGCAUCGAGAAGGGACAAUGGGAACUGAAGGACUUUUUUUGUGUCAAUUGGCCUCACUAUGGACGCUUGUACAACAGCAGUGUGUGGCGGUGGCUUUGAGGAGCUUGAAAUUUUCAACUAAGGUCAUCAGAGGUAAGCGACCUGACCUUUUGGUGGAUCAGGCUGUGCAGGUUGUUGAUGGGUUGCUGGCGGCAGUGUGGUGUGAAUGACAGUGGCAGGCUCUUCUCUCUCUCUGUUGUUUUUGUGGGUAGAAAAAACAAUGGGGCAAAGGGAUUUUUUUUUUUACUUUUAAUCUUUUCUGGUUUUGGCUUGACCAGCAAUGCUUCAAUAGCUUCAAAUGGACCCAAUUUUUACUGGGGUACAAAAUUUGAUGUAGGACAAGCCAGAAUUUUGUAAUAGGAAAAUAAAUCACCAAGCAAAAAAAAAAAAAAACACACCACCUAAGGUUAGAAUUGACACUAGACCAUAAAGACAAUUUCAACAUAAAUUUUAUUUAUCAAAAUAAUAUUCCUUUGAUAGGAGUACAUUAUUGUGCUCGUAUAGACUACAAAACCUUAAUUCAAACUGAACGAAAUAUUACUUAAUGAAUUACAAAAAAUAACCCUGAUUUUAACAAAAAUACUGAUAAUAAACCUACUUAAAUACUAGGACCUAAAAACAAUAUACAAUUGACCAAAAAUACAAUUACCUUGCAAAAUUAAAUACUAAUAAAUUAAAAUAAAUAGCUCUUUGAGCAUCACACAUCACCUAGAUUAUCAAAAGAAAGAAAGAAUAAAUGAUCGUGGGGAGUACGAAAAGGAGUUGCGAAUUUGACUCUUCUUUGACUGUGGAGCUUGCUGAUGUAAGGGUAUUUAAGAAAUUGCCACCCAUUACUUUGUUUUUGUAACUCAAAAACACCUAAAACUUGUUUUUGUUUUUAAUAAUUCAUUACCCAGUUUGGAGAGAAUUGAAUGAUGGAAACAAAACCUCAAAACCCAUCCAAACAAGACCUUCUCCAUGGGACCCACUUAUUUUGGUAGACAAGUGAUAAAAACCCACAAAUCCAAACAACCUCUAAACCUCUUGCAAAUCCAUUAGAAAACUGCAAGAGGUUUGUACCUAAAGUGACAUUUUUUGUUAUUUUUAAUUUAGACCUUUAAUGUUUAAAUCAUCUAAAAAAAAAAAAAAUCUAACCAUUAAAAAUUUGCCUUUGGGCUGGGUUAAAAAGCCCAUUGAACCUAACCCGCUUAUAAGAAAGAGUUACACAUCGAUUUCCACUUCCUUCCUGUUCCUGUUCUCUGAGAAAGAGCUAUAGAGGCCGGCCGCCCCUACUUCCAGCCUCCACGCUCAGCUCAAGGUAUCAAAAAGAGCCUCUUGGGUUAGAUUUAUUUCUACCGUGAUGCGAUGAUGAUGCUUUUGAAUCGAUGAAAGAUGAUGAGAAAUAAGUCUUUUUUUUUUAUUGGUAUUUGUUUUUCAGGGAAAGGAAGCAAAGAAACAAUGGCGUACGCAUUGAAGCCGGCGAAGCAGUUGGGUGCGGAUGAAGGUCCGGAACAAAUUCACAAGAUCAGGAUAACCCUGACCUCAAAAAGUGUCAAGAAUCUCGAGAAGGGUACCCCAAAAAACCUUUUUUUUUUUUUUUUUUUUUUUUUUUUUUUUUUUUUUAAUAAAUUUAAAAUUUUAAUAAAUAAUAUAAAUAUUUUAAAAUAAUUAAUAAUAUGAUAAUUGCAAUCACACUUUUACAUGAAUUCAUAACUAACAAAAAAUGAUAGUGUACUAACUCAUAGAAGAAAAGUGUGUGAUAUGGAUUGUCAAGAGGAUAGGACCCAACCUAGAUUGACCCAACCUAGAUUGAACAAUCAUGCAUACCUCCAAGCAGCUCUUUUAACUACAAAUUUAAUUCUCUCAUAAUAAAUACACUUAUAUAAUAAAUAAAUUAAAGCUUUACUCCUAAAAUUUAAAUUACGCCGGUACAAAACCAGAACUCGUCAUAUGCUAAAGAGGCAGGAGGCACUCAAAUGGGGUGUGCUAUCAAUUUCCUUCUGAGAUUUCCUCCAUGGCUUGGCGGUGUUGUGCAAGACCAAAAGCUGCUAGUGGGAUUGCAGUGGCACAACAGGGGGCAAGUCUGUGGCACAGCAUCGAGAAGGGACAAUGGGAACUGAAGGACUUUUUUUGUGUCAAUUGGCCUCACUAUGGACGCUUGUACAACAGCAGUGUGUGGCGGUGGCUUUGAGGAGCUUGAAAUUUUCAACUAAGGUCAUCAGAGGUAAGCGACCUGACCUUUUGGUGGAUCAGGCUGUGCAGGUUGUUGAUGGGUUGCUGGCGGCAGUGUGGUGUGAAUGACAGUGGCAGGCUCUUCUCUCUCUCUGUUGUUUUUGUGGGUAGAAAAUACAAUGGGGCAAAGGGAUUUUUUUUUUUUACUUUUAAUCUUUUCUGGUUUUGGCUUGACCAGCAAUGCUUCAAUAGCUUCAAAUGGACCCAAUUUUUACUGGGGUACAAAAUUUGAUGUAGGACAAGCCAGAAUUUUGUAAUAGGAAAAUAAAUCACCAAGCAAAAAAAAAAAAAAACACACCACCUAAGGUUAGAAUUGACACUAGACCAUAAAGACAAUUUCAACAUAAAUUUUAUUUAUCAAAAUAAUAUUCCUUUGAUAGGAGUACAUUAUUGUGCUCGUAUAGACUACAAAACCUUAAUUCAAACUGAACGAAAUAUUACUUAAUGAAUUACAAAAAAUAACCCUGAUUUUAACAAAAAUACUGAUAAUAAACCUACUUAAAUACUAGGACCUAAAAACAAUAUACAAUUGACCAAAAAUACAAUUACCUUGCAAAAUUAAAUACUAAUAAAUUAAAAUAAAUAGCUCUUUGAGCAUCACACAUCACCUAGAUUAUCAAAAGAAAGAAAGAAAGAAUAAAUGAUCGUGGGGAGUACGAAAAGGAGUUGCGAAUUUGACUCUUCUUUGACUGUGGAGCUUGCUGAUGUAAGGGUAUUUAAGAAAUUGCCACCCAUUACUUUGUUUUUGUAACUCAAAAACACCUAAAACUUGUUUUUGUUUUUAAUAAUUCAUUACCCAGUUUGGAGAGAAUUGAAUGAUGGAAACAAAACCUCAAAACCCAUCCAAACAAGACCUUCUCCAUGGGACCCACUUAUUUUGGUAGACAAGUGAUAAAAACCCACAAAUCCAAACAACCUCUAAACCUCUUGCAAAUCCAUUAGAAAACUGCAAGAGGUUUGUACCUAAAGUGACAUUUUUUGUUAUUUUUAAUUUAGACCUUUAAUGUUUAAAUCAUCUAAAAAAAAAAAAAAUCUAACCAUUAAAAAUUUGCCUUUGGGCUGGGUUAAAAAGCCCAUUGAACCUAACCCGCUUAUAAGAAAGAGUUACACAUCGAUUUCCACUUCCUUCCUGUUCCUGUUCUCUGAGAAAGAGCUAUAGAGGCCGGCCGCCCCUACUUCCAGCCUCCACGCUCAGCUCAAGGUAUCAAAAAGAGCCUCUUGGGUUAGAUUUAUUUCUACCGUGAUGCGAUGAUGAUGCUUUUGAAUCGAUGAAAGAUGAUGAGAAAUAAGUCUUUUUUUUUUAUUGGUAUUUGUUUUUCAGGGAAAGGAAGCAAAGAAACAAUGGCGUACGCAUUGAAGCCGGCGAAGCAGUUGGGUGCGGAUGAAGGUCCGGAACAAAUUCACAAGAUCAGGAUAACCCUGACCUCAAAAAGUGUCAAGAAUCUCGAGAAGGGUACCCCAAAAAACCUUUUUUUUUUUUUUUGCAUUUAUUUUGUUUUUGUUUUUUUAGUUCUAAUCUGCUUUGACCCAUAUGAUGAAAAUGGUGAUUAGACAAUAAUAAUAAUACUAAUAUGGUUAUGGCAACGGUUUAGUUUCAGAGAUGAAACAUUCUUAGUGUUUUGAGAUGAAUAUGUUUAUAAUUCUUGUACUGAUAUAUGAUAUAUUUGAGUUUUUAUGAUCUUAUAUGUUAGUAUCAGGUUUUAGCUUUUUUAAUUUUUUAAUUUUUUUUUUAAUUGGGUUUUCUGAGUUAAUUCUGUUUUAUUUGAUUGGUUUAGUUUCAUGUAGUAUGUGUUUUGAAAUGAAUUUGUUUUGUAAUUGUUAUACUGAUAUGACCCAUUUGGCAUUUUAUUAUUGAAUGUUAUCAGUCCUUGUAAUUUUAAUACCUUGUAUGUUAGUAUCUGUUUUUGGCCAUGAUUUUUUUUAUUUGGGUUUAACUUUUGAGUCAGUUCUAAGCUGAUUUUGUUUGGUUUUUAUGUGAGAGUUUAAACCUGUUUAGCAUCUUGGGUAUGUUUGAAGUUGGAACAAGAGUACUAAGCUGAUGGUAUGACCUUUUAUUCUAUUUUAUUUUUUUAUUGAUAGUUUGUACGGAUUUGGUUCGUGGUGCCAAGGACAAGAUGUUGAGGGUUAAGGGCCCAGUGAGAAUCCCCACUAAGGUUCUGCACAUCACCACCAGGAAGUCCCCUUGCGGUGAAGGUAUAUUUCUAUAUCUUACUGUAGUAUUCAGUUGAUUGCCUUGACAAAUAUAUCAUCGCCAUUGUUUACCAAUAUUCAUUUGAUAAUCCUAUGUAAUUCAAUUUUAAGCAUUCUUAUAUUUUAAGUUGGUAUAUUAGCUAGUGCCCCUUGCAAGAACUUUUAAGGAAGGUGGGCAUUAGAAUUGAAAGAAGGGUGAAAUUGUUAGUGGCAUUCCAUAGGGGUUUUGUAUCAAAAUCAAAAGGCAUCAGGUAGAGAUCCAAAGGUUAACCCUUGUAAGGUUUGGGUUGAGUAGUGUGUCUCAUGAUGUAUGUAAAAAAUAAAAAUAAUAAUAAUAAUCCUUACUACUUAUCCAAAAAAAAUGAUCCUUAUUUUUUUGCCUUUGAUUUUGAGGCUUGUAGAGAACAAACUGGUGACAAGCUUUGAAGCUAUACCAUUAAUACUUUCUCCAUGAAACUAAUUGAAGUUUACCUAUAAAAUUAGCAUGUGAUUCAAAUGCUGCUUAUGGUUCCUUGUGACUCAACCCUAGACUGAUCUUCAGCUGGAUUUUGUGCAACUUAUUGUACUCUUCAGUAUCUCUAUAUCACACCUAUGACCCGUUUUAACAUUUUCCCAUCAUAUAAUCUUUUUAUAUAUAGUUUGAUAGGAAAGACCUAGGGGCUCAAAUAUAUUUGCCAUGGAUUAUUGCUUCUGAUCAAUCCUAUACCUUAUUUCAUUGUUGCCUGGAAAAUAAAAUAAUUAUUUUGUUUUAUAGGUGUAGCCUUGUAGGCCAGCUAUCUUGUGCUCAUGAUGGAAUCCUAUUUGCUAGUUGCUAUUAUAGACGUAGUCACAUAGCUAUUAAGAAAGAUGUUUAGUGGUGAAGUUUAAUUCUUUUUUUGAAAUUAUUGUUAACUCUUUGUUUUGAUUUUGCAGGUACCAACACUUGGGAUAGAUUUGAACUUCGUAUCCACAAGCGAGUUAUUGACCUCUUCAGCUCCCCAGAAGUUGUUAAGCAGAUUACCUCCAUUACAAUUGAACCUGGCGUGGAGGUUGAGGUUACCAUUGCGGAUAAUUGA
rnacentral:sRNA from 1 species